GACGAACGCUGGCGGCGUGCUUAACACAUGCAAGUCGAACGGAAAGGCCCUGCUUUUGUGGGGUGCUCGAGUGGCGAACGGGUGAGUAACACGUGAGUAACCUGCCCUUGACUUUGGGAUAACUUCAGGAAACUGGGGCUAAUACCGGAUAGGAGCUCCUGCUGCAUGGUGGGGGUUGGAAAGUUUCGGCGGUUGGGGAUGGACUCGCGGCUUAUCAGCUUGUUGGUGGGGUAGUGGCUUACCAAGGCUUUGACGGGUAGCCGGCCUGAGAGGGUGACCGGCCACCUUGGGCCUGAGAUACGGCCCAGACUCCUACGGGAGGCAGCAGUGGGGAAUAUUGCCCAAUGGGCGGAAGCCUGAUGCAGCAACGCCGCGUGCGGGAUGACGGCCUUCGGGUUGUAAACCGCUUUCGCCUGUGACGAAGCGUGAGUGACGGUAAUGGGUAAAGAAGCACCGGCUAACUACGUG
rnacentral:rRNA from 1 species